GAUGAACGCUGGCGGCGUGCCUAAUACAUGCAAGUCGAGCGAACGGACGAGAAGCUUGCUUCUCUGAUGUUAGCGGCGGACGGGUGAGUAACACGUGGAUAACCUACCUAUAAGACUGGGAUAACUUCGGGAAACCGUAGCUAAUACCGGAUAAUAUUUUGAACCGCAUGGUUCAAGAGUGAAAGACGGUCUUGCUGUCACUUAUAGAUGGAUCCGCGCUGCAUUAGCUAGUUGGUAAGGUAACGGCUUACCAAGGCAACGAUGCAUAGCCGACCUGAGAGGGUGAUCGGCCACACUGGAACUGAGACACGGUCAAGACUCCUACGGGAGGCAGCAGUAGGGAAUCUUCCGCAAUGGGCGAAAGCCUGACGGAGCAACGCCGCGUGAGUGAUGAAGGUCUUCGGAUCGUAAAACUCUGUUAGUAGGGAAGAACAUAUGUGUAAGUAACUGUGCACAUCUUGACGGUUACUAAUCAGAAAGCCACGGCUAACUACGUG
rnacentral:rRNA from 1 species